AUGGAAUUGCGGACCAAUGACAUGAAUCUGUAUAAUAACAUAAACUGGAUUUUUCGUUCCUCUCACAAAUGUAUACCUAUAUUUACUCUGAUACAGUGCCCAUAUGAAAUGUUUACUAACAUCAAAUACUGGGGACAUGUAGCCAUUGAUAUAUUAAAUGAUCAUGUGGAAGCACUCAUUCAAAGUGUAUAUAUAAUAAAAUAUAAAACAAUGUAUCAUAAUUGGCACCUCAGAAUAUUAUGGAAAAUUGCAACAUACUGUAAUAAAACCUGCAAAGAAGUCCACUUCAUUGGGACACUUCCAUAG
rnacentral:rRNA from 1 species